rnacentral:rRNA from 1 species
AUGAUGUGUUUAAUUCGAUGCAACGCGAAAAACCUUACCCACCUUUGACAUGUACGGAAUCCUUUAGAGAUAGAGGAGUGCCCGAAAGGGAAUUGGAACACAGGUGCUGCAUGGCUGUCGUCAGCUCGUGUCGUGAGAUGUUGGGUUAAGUCCCGCAACGAGCGCAACCCUUAUCAUUAGUUGCUACGCAAGGGCACUCUAAUGAGACUGCCGGUGACAAACCGGAGGAAGGUGGGGAUGACGUCAAGUCCUCAUGGCCCUUAUGGGUAGGGCUUCACACGUCAUACAAUGGUCGGUACAGAGGGUUGCCAAGCCGCGAGGUGGAGCCAAUCCCAGAAAGCCGAUCGUAGUCCGGAUUGUUCUCUGCAACUCGAGAGCAUGAAGUCGGAAUCGCUAGUAAUCGCGGAUCAGCAUGUCGCGGUGAAUACGUUCCCGGGUCUU